UAUAAGUACAAUUUUGCACUAUUCACCUCCAACGUUUGACCAUUCGUUUUAUUUAAUUUUUUUUUUAUGAUUACUAUUUUUAUUGUUAUUAGAUGAUGUGACUAACUUUUUUUAAAUUUUUCAUAAAAUUUUCAAAUAAGACGGACGGUCAAACGUUGGACACGGAUUUUCAUUGCUGCAUUUAUU
rfam:Oryza sativa Japonica Group DNA, chromosome 1, cultivar: Nipponbare, complete sequence.